GGAGAGUUGUCUGAGCGGCCGAAAGAGACGGUCUUGAAAACCGUUGUACGGCGACCCCGUACCAAGGGUUCGAAUCCCUUACUCUCCG
rnacentral:tRNA from 1 species